rnacentral:tRNA from 1 species
GUUUGAGUGGCAAGGCCCGGUAGUUGCAAAAGACCUAAGCUCUUUAUAUCAGAAGUUCAAAUCUUCUCUUAAACU